CGGCCGCGGUAUCCUGACCGUGCGAAGGUAGCAUAAUCAUUUGUUCUUUAAAUAGGGACUAGUAUCAACGGCAUCACGAGGGUUAUACUGUCUCCUCUCUCCAAUCAGUGAAACUGAUCUCCCCGUGAAGAAGCGGGGAUAAAUCUAUAAGACGAGAAGACCCCAUGGAGCUUUAAACUCAACAACAAUUUCCCUUAAGAUAUUCUACAUAAUUAUGGAAGUACUGUUUGUUAGUUUUGGGUUGGGGUGACCGCGGAGAAAAAUUAAACCUCCACGACGAAUGGAAUUAACUCCUAAUCUAAGAGCCACCGCUCUAAGAAUCAAUAAAUUGACAUAAUCUGAUCCGAUAAUCGAUCAACGGACCAAGUUACCCUGGGGAUAACAGCGCAAUCCAUUUCAAGAGCUCCUAUCGACAAAUGGGUUUACGACCUCGAUGUUGGAUCAGGGUAUCCCAGUGGUGCAGCCGCU
rnacentral:rRNA from 1 species